rnacentral:rRNA from 1 species
AACGAACGCUGGCGGCAUGCCUAACACAUGCAAGUCGAACGAGAGCUUCGGGGCUAGUGGCGCGCGGGGGCGUAACGCGGGGGAAGCUGCCCAUAGGUUCGGAAUCACUCGCCGGAGGGGGUGCGAAGACCGGAGAAUGUCUUCGGCCCAAAGAUUUAUCGCGUUUGGGUGGGCCCGCGUUGGAUUAGCUAGUUGGUAGGGUAAAAGCCUACCAAGGUGACGAUCCAUAGCUGGGCUGAGAGGAUGAUCAGCCACACUGGGACUGAGACACGGCCCAGACUCCUACGGGAGGCAGCAGUGGGGAAUAUUGGACAAUGGGCGAAAGCCUGAUCCAGCAAUGCCGCGUGAGUGAUGAAGGCCUUAGGGUUGUAAAGCUCUUUUACCCGGGAUGAUAAUGACAGUACCGGGAGAAUAAGCUCCGGCUAACUCCGUG